GAUGUUGCAUUUUUAACAGAUUCCCAGGUGGUGUUGCUGCUGCUGGCCCAAGGACUCCACUACUCUAGAUCUCAGGUGGUGAUAAGGUGGACUUCUCUGUUCUUUUCCCUUUUGAGCGUCAGUGGACACACUGAGAAAAACUCAUUGGGUGGGGGUGCUAUCCCUGAAUGCUAUCUGCUGAAUGUUCACACAGGAAAGUACAAUUUGCCUUUUUGGUCUCUUAUUCCCACCUCGUCCACUUUUUCUGCAAACAGUUUUCUCGGGGUUGUUGCAGAAACCUGCUUUGCAUAUAAAGAUCUGUUUGUAUCCACCCUUUGUUACCCAUCCGUCACCACAGGCUUGAGACUCGUUGGAGGAGAUCACCUCUCCCAGGAGGCAGGGAGCUGGAUGAGGUCCAGGGCGUGGACCCAGCUUGAGCUCUGGGUGACAGCUUGGUGUGGCAAGAAGAAAGGACCUGACGAUGCACACAUCACUGAAAGAGGGUGCAGGGAAAGGACCCAACUGCUUGAAGUGACUGCUGAAACUCGGAGCUCCCCAGGGAAGUAAUCUGCGGCUACUUCAGGCCGUUCUUGCCUGUUCCUCACCACCCGCCACCAGCGUCCCUUGGCUACGGAGUCUCUGCAAGAUGAAGGGAGAAGCGCCUGGAAUCCCACCCUUGACAAAGUCCCUGAAGCGGCUUGGAAGGGAACCCCAAAGGGCUGGUUGUGGCGAUCCUUUGAGGCCGUUCUGCCGAAGUGAGACAGCCCUAUUGGAGCAAACGGCGGGUGCGGCGGGAGCGUGGUGGGGCCCUUGUGGGGCUCUAUCGUGUCCCCUAUCCUGGCUCCCCUGGCCUCAGCUGUCAGGUUGGGGUCGGGGGUGCAUUUAGUCAGGUGUCUACCACCUCCUGCCCUUUGGCCUACGCUGGGCCAUCCCCAUCCACAUGCAGGAUAUGGGCGGCCGCAGGACUCUCAAGCGGGGAGUGUGGAGAGUCACCGGGAAGCUCGUCACAAGGCAGGUCCCCGGGCCACACCCUCGCCGACUGGAAUCCAGUGGGUGGUGGCCCAGAAACUGUGUUUUGAACCCCGCAGCACUAGGACACAGAGGGCUGCCCUUCCCGCGUGGGGAGCUGGGACGCGCCCCCACAUCCUCCUAGCGAGGCCCAUUUUUAACCUGGCCCAGCCUGUUGUAAGAGGUGCUCGCCAUGACUCUGACUGCCGUGUGGUUUCUUCCCAGACGUUUGCGACUGAACUGAGCCACUGCCUGGCCCACUGAGACAAGACAAACUGCUUCUUGAGCCUCCCCGCACAGGGGCUUCCGGCCUAGCGAGGAGAGAACUCACAUUGUGUUUCAGGCCCUUUGUGGAAAUACCUGCUCUAUUCCUCCCUGCAACGUUGAAAGAUAGCAUCACCAUUUCUCAGACGAGGAGACCGAGGCACAGUGUUGCAAUACACCCUCCACACAGGCACCCGAGAGUCAUCUUUAAAACCCCAGUUGGA
rnacentral:lncRNA from 1 species